rnacentral:rRNA from 1 species
AGCACGGGAGCAAUCCUGGUGGCGAGUGGCGAACGGGUGAGUAAUGUAUCGGAACGUACCUUUCAGUGGGGGAUAACGUAGCGAAAGUUACGCUAAUACCGCAUAUUCUGUGAGCAGGAAAGCAGGGGAUCGCAAGACCUUGCGCUGAUUGAGCGGCCGAUAUCAGAUUAGCUAGUUGGUGAGGUAAAGGCUCACCAAGGCGACGAUCUGUAGCGGGUCUGAGAGGAUGAUCCGCCACACUGGAACUGAGACACGGUCCAGACUCCUACGGGAGGCAGCAGUGGGGAAUUUUGGACAAUGGGCGCAAGCCUGAUCCAGCCAUGCCGCGUGAGUGAAGAAGGCCUUCGGGUUGUAAAGCUCUUUCAGCCGGGAAGAAAACGCAUGGGUUAAUACCCUGUGUGGAUGACGGUACCGGAAUAAGAAGCACCGGCUAACUACGUGCCAGCAGCCGCGGUAAUACGUAGGGUGCGAGCGUUAAUCGGAAUUACUGGGCGUAAAGCGUGCGCAGGCGGUUUGUUAAGAUAGGCGUGAAAUCCCCGGGCUCAACCUGGGAACUGCGUUUAUGACUGGCAGGCUAGAGUAUGGCAGAGGGGGGUGGAAUUCCACGUGUAGCAGUGAAAUGCGUAGAGAUGUGGAGGAACACCGAUGGCGAAGGCAGCCCCCUGGGCCAAUACUGACGCUCAUGCACGAAAGCGUGGGUAGCAAACAGGAUUAGAUACCCUGGUAGUCCACGCCCUAAACGAUGUCAACUAGGUGUUGGGUGGGUAAAACCAUUUAGUACCG